CAGAUUUUGGCGAGACAACACGUCCGUGUCGAAUUGUUUUAAAACUAAUAUUGGCGGAAUUAACACUAAAGAAAACUUAAAUCAUUUGUAUACCAAUAGGUAGCAUAUAUAAAUAAUAAUAUUUUAUUCAGAUUAAAGAUUUUGCAUCUCGGGAUUUGGAUCAAGAUGUCGUCAUUAAAUUAAACUUUGUGGACUCAAGAACACCUGUAACACCGGAACCAUGCGAUAUAUUGUUCUGUCCCGUGCAAACAGAUGCAAUCACCUCUUUCACCAGUG